GGUUCGAUGGUGUAGUUGGUUAUCACGUCUGUCUCACAUGUCCAGGUUGGGCGGUGCUCACAGGAGGUCUCCGGUUCGAGCCCGGGUCGAACCA